GAAAACUACAGGAACGGACACAAUGAGUACUUUAUCAGAACAAUAAAAGGCAAAACCCAACCUUAUCUGCAAAGACCACAAGGCAUGUCUCCACAAGGUCUCUCUAGAAGCAAUGACACACAUAAAAGACAGGUAACAGACCUUACACACAGGAGUACAGGAAUCCAGUUUGUCUAGCUCCACUAAUCAUUGGAGUGAAAGAGAAUUCAGCUAAAAGCAAUGCCAACUAUCUGGGAUCUCUGCAUUGACCGUGCUUGGUUGUUUAUUCAGAAUUCAGUCUGCCAUGGAACACCAUCUGGAUCUUACUUUUCUGAAGAAAUCAAUCUCACUACACUACAAUUAAUACAGCAGUAAAGUAAUUACAUGCAUUGU